ensembl:snRNA U2 U2 spliceosomal RNA
AAGACUUCUCGGCCUUUUGGCUAAGAUCAAGUGUAGUAUCUGUUCUUAUCAGUUUAAAGACUAAUAUACAGAACUUUCUUCUUGAAGGAAUGUUUUAAAACAAUAUUAUUGUUGGAACGCUCUCAGGCUCUAUCCUCAUGAUGAUAGGGUUCACUUGAUUGCAGAACACAAUCUAAUAAAU